rnacentral:lncRNA from 1 species
GGUGAUGGAUGUUACAGGUGUUGUUGAAGGAGAUGUUUGUGUUGAACAGACUUAGGGGGAGAAGAAACACAUUUGUGUGUUUUAAAAUGUGUUUACUAGUUGCUAUUAUACCUAGUAAAUGUGUGGUUUAUUACUUCUGCUGCUAAACUGCUGAUAUGUUUUUUUUAUUCUUGUGAACAAAUGGACUAAUGUAUGUUUUCG